rnacentral:rRNA from 1 species
CAAGGUUAACCGUAUAGGGGAGCCGCAGGGAAACCGAGUCUUAACUGGGCGUUAAGUUGCAGGGUAUAGACCCGAAACCCGGUGAUCUAGCCAUGGGCAGGUUGAAGGUUGGGUAACACUAACUGGAGGACCGAACCGACUAAUGUUGAAAAAUUAGCGGAUGACUUGUGGCUGGGGGUGAAAGGCCAAUCAAACCGGGAGAUAGCUGGUUCUCCCCGAAAGCUAUUUAGGUAGCGCCUCGUGAAUUCAUCUCCGGGGGUAGAGCACUGUUUCGGCAAGGGGGUCAUCCCGACUUACCAACCCGAUGCAAACUGCGAAUACCGGAGAAUGUUAUCACGGGAGACACACGGCGGGUGCUAACGUCCGUCGUGAAGAGGGAAACAACCCAGACCGCCAGCUAAGGUCCCAAAGUCAUGGUUAAGUGGGAAACGAUGUGGGAAGGCCCAGACAGCCAGGAUGUUGGCUUAGAAGCAGCCAUCAUUUAAAGAAAGCGUAAUAGCUCACUGGUCGAGUCGGCCUGCGCGGAAGAUGUAACGGGGCUAAACCAUGCACCGAAGCUGCGGCAGCGACACUAUGUGUUGUUGGGUAGGGGAGCGUUCUGUAAGCCUGCGAAGGUGUGCUGUGAGGCAUGCUGGAGGUAUCAGAAGUGCGAAUGCUGACAUAAGUAACGAUAAAGCGGGUGAAAAGCCCGCUCGCCGGAAGACCAAGGGUUCCUGUCCAACGUUAAUCGGGGCAGGGUGAGUCGACCCCUAAGGCGAGGCCGAAAGGCGUAGUCGAUGGGAAACAGGUUAAUAUUCCUGUACUUGGUGUUACUGCGAAGGGGGGACGGAGAAGGCUAUGUUAGCCGGGCGACGGUUGUCCCGGUUUAAGCAUGUAGGCUGGUUGUCCAGGCAAAUCCGGAUAAUCAAGGCUGAGGUGUGAUGACGAGGCACUACGGUGCUGAAGUAACAAAUGCCCUGCUUCCAGGAAAAGCCUCUAAGCAUCAGGUAACAUCAAAUCGUACCCCAAACCGACACAGGUGGUCAGGUAGAGAAUACCAAGGCGCUUGAGAGAACUCGGGUGAAGGAACUAGGCAAAAUGGUGCCGUAACUUCGGGAGAAGGCACGCUGGUGUGUAGGUGAAGUCCCUGCGGAUGGAGCUGAAACCAGUCGAAGAUACCAGCUGGCUGCAACUGUUUAUUAAAAACACAGCACUGUGCAAACACGAAAGUGGACGUAUACGGUGUGACGCCUGCCCGGUGCCGGAAGGUUAAUUGAUGGGGUUAUCCGUAAGGAGAAGCUCUUGAUCGAAGCCCCGGUAAACGGCGGCCGUAACUAUAACGGUCCUAAGGUAGCGAAAUUCCUUGUCGGGUAAGUUCCGACCUGCACGAAUGGCGUAAUGAUGGCCAGGCUGUCUCCACCCGAGACUCAGUGAAAUUGAACUCGCUGUGAAGAUGCAGUGUACCCGCGGCAAGACGGAAAGACCCCGUGAACCUUUACUAUAGCUUGACACUGAACAUUGAGCCUUGAUGUGUAGGAUAGGUGGGAGGCUUUGAAG